GACGAACGCUGGCGGCGUGCUUAACACAUGCAAGUCGAACGCUGAAGCUUGGUGCUUGCACUGGGUGGAUGAGUGGCGAACGGGUGAGUAAUAAGUGAGUAACCUGCCCUUGACUCUGGGAUAAGCCUGGGAAACUGGGUCUAAUACUGGAUACGACAUGUCACCGCAUGGUGGUGUGUGGAAAGGGUUUUACUGGUUUUGGAUGGGCUCACGGCCUAUCAGCUUGUUGGUGGGGUAAUGGCUCACCAAGGCGACGACGGGUAGCCGGCCUGAGAGGGUGACCGGCCACACUGGGACUGAGACACGGCCCAGACUCCUACGGGAGGCAGCAGUGGGGAAUAUUGCACAAUGGGCGGAAGCCUGAUGCAGCGACGCCGCGUGAGGGAUGACGGCCUUCGGGUUGGAAACCUCUUUCAGCACGGAAGAAGCGAAAGUGACGGUACGUGCAGAAGAAGCGCCGGCUAACUACGU
rnacentral:rRNA from 1 species